rnacentral:misc_RNA from 1 species
AAGUCGUAACAAGGUUUCCGUAGGUGAACCUGCGGAAGGAUCAUUAACACUUUUUUCACGUUUUGUCAAGUCAUACUUGGCAAUCUUACUACCCACCUUUUGGAUGAAUUGUUAUGUGGAUUGGGAAUGAAGUAAUAUUCAUUUUCCAUAUCUACAUUUUAUCUCUAUUAACUUUUUUAACCCCAAACACCAUUAUUGCUAUGCAUUGACUGAAAUGUAUUUGUGUCUUUUCUUUCCACAAAGAACACACAAAUCCAAACCAAAAAAGCUAAGAAACAACUCUUAACAACGGAUAUCUUGGCUCUC